rnacentral:misc_RNA from 1 species
CCUGGAUGCAUUUUCAAGGGUUCCCAAUUCAUCUGCCUCUUUUAUCCCUUCAGUCUGGCCAUCUCCCCUUGGUCUAGCUAUCCUUAGUAACCUCUCUAUAUUAAUAGAUCAGCAUCUUUAGAGCAUGUUUGAGUCGCUUGAGGGAAAUAAUAAAUUAAUUCAGGGGCAAAGAGAGCCAAACUUCAAUGGCAGAGUGUCUCUCCACAGUUUACCCAUUGCACAAAGCUAUCUGAGAAUUCCUCGAGGACAUUGGAAUUCUGAGAACUCCAUAGGAUAACUCCAUUUCUGUCUCCUGCCUUACCUUCAUGCUGGAUCCAUAUUCACUAGUG